rnacentral:lncRNA from 1 species
AGCCGCGGCUGCCCGCUCCACGAGCCCGUCCCUUCUUAGGAGGCUACAGCCCGGUCCUUCACGAGAGUUCAGGUGGCCGCCCUGCCCCUCCCCAGCGUGGGCGACGCUUGCUUCUCCCUAAGCCCGCCGUGGAAGGGCUGCCCGGCGCCUCACCUUGCCGUCGCUCUUCCUCCGAAUCUUCUGACAGCGGCCGUAGGAGCCGGUGCCGAUGCUGUGCAGCACCUCGUAGUCCUCCACCCGGGACGGCAUGGCGAGCGGCCACCCUGGCAACCACACCACCGCGCCGCUCGGAGCCCAGGCUCGCCCGCUGCAGGCCAACCGCGCCGAAACCCGAGCCCCUCGUCUGCCUGCCUGAGUCGGCGAGCAACCGGCCACCGGGUCAACCGUCGCGGGCUUCGGCCUCGCAUUCUAUUGGUCCACAGCGAAGGUGCAUCUCAACUCUGAUUGGCUGAGAAAACACAACACUGCUAGGCAUCCUGGGAAAAUGCGUGUCGCUAGGCAACCGCGUCGGCGUUGGUGUCUGCGUCUAGCUGCUCUACGGAAUACGAGCCGCGCCGAAAACCCCUGGGAUUUGGGAUCGCAAAGCCUGUUGGGGCCUCGGUAAUUCCAUUCCUUGGCUGAAGUCGCUAUGGUAACGGAUGUCCGAGGCUCUGGACUGGAGACACUGGCCUUUUGACCUUUCCACUUUGACCCCACCCUUUUCCGACUCCUCUGCACUCGGGUCCUGAACCUAAGCCCUUGUGUGUUGAGGAUUUGAUGACCCUGAGGGUGCGCUAAAGGCUAGCAUCGUUAGCUCUGUUCACUGAAGAAUCUCCAGGCUCGCCUCCGGGAGCGUCUGUGUACUGACACAAGCUUCCCACUAGAGGGCGGUACGCCACUGCGUAAUAAGGAGCAGCUCUGCACCACCCGCAGACUCCAAGACUGGCCUGGGAGGAUGUUGGGUCAGACAUUUUGUGGCAAAUGGAGCCCAUCACGGAAAACCACAACUGGACACAAUGCAGAAAUCAACAGGUCAUGAGGAGCCCAGCUGCAGGGAAUACACGGACACACAGCACCUUUGUCUAUGGUUCAGGAAAAGCAAACGAAUAGGGAGCUGAAAGAUCUGAGGAGCCAGAGGACCAAGGCAUCCGCUGUGAACAGCCGCUCUAGAAAUGGCUGCAUAAGGAGGAAAAGUCAGGAACAAUGUCAUAUCAGCGGACGAGCUGGCAUGGAAUAAGGAAAGGUUGUCAGGGUUUUUCCUCUAGACAAAGAACGAAGGCAACUAACAACUGCCAGAAGGAGAGGUAGCCUCUCCCAGGGAUUGUUUGUCUAAUGCCAAGUGGUUGUCCUUGGAACUGUACACACACACAGACAACAGAAACAGAUUCAUUUAUAUGUAUCUGUGCAUGCGCACACACAC